UCCGAGUUGACCCCGGCAGUCUCCCGUGAGUCCCCACCACCCAAAAAGGGCGUGCUGGCAACACAGAACAAGGGUUGCGCUCGUUGCGGGACUUAACCCAACAUCUCACGACACGAGCUGACGACAGCCAUGCACCACCUGUACACCGGCUCAAAGAGGGACCCUGUCUCCAGGGUUUUCCGGCAUAUGUCAAGCCUUGGUAAGGUUCUUCGCGUUGCGUCGAAUUAAACCACAUGCUCCGCUGCUUGUGCGGGUCCCCGUCAAUUCCUUUGAGUUUUAGCCUUGCGGCCGUACUCCCCAGGCGGGGCACUUAAUGCGUUAGCGCCGGCACGGGGGGAGUCGACACCUCCCACACCUGGUGCCCAUCGUUUACAGCGUGGACUAC
rnacentral:misc_RNA from 1 species